rnacentral:rRNA from 1 species
GCCCCGUAAUCGGAAUGAGUACACUUUAAAUCCUUUAACAAGGAUCCAUUGGAGGGCAAGUCUGGUGCCAGCAGCCGCGGUAAUUCCAGCUCCAAUAGCGUAUAUUAAAGUUGUUGCGGUUAAAAAGCUCGUAGUUGGUUCUGCGUGCCGCGCUGUCGGUUCGCCGCCUGUCGGUGUAACUGGCAUGUCGCGGCAUGUCCUGUCGGUGGUGAACGGAGUCCACAAUGCUACAUAGGCUUUAUAGCCGAUGUUAGCGUCGUGUGUACUUCCGUUGGCCGAUCUCUCCUACUUCGGUGCUCUUAAACGAGUGUCGAGGUAGGCCGACACGUUCACUUUGAACAAAUUAGAGUGCUUAAAGCAGGCUAAAAUCUCUGCCUGAAUAGUGGUGCAUGGAAUGAUAAAACAGGACCUCGGUUCUAUUUUGUUGGUUUUAGGAAUAUGAGGUAAUGAUCAAUGUGGACUGGCGGGGGCAUUCCUAUUGCGACGUUAGAGGUGAAAUUCUUGGAUCGUCGCAAGACGCACUAGAGCGAAAGCAUUUGCCAAGUAUGUCUUAAUUGAUCAAGAACGAAAGUUAGAGGUUCGAAGGCGAUCAGAUACCGCCCUAGUUCUAACCAUAAACGAUGCCAACCAGCGAUCCGCCGAUGUUCCUUUAAUGACUCGGCGGGGAGCUUCCACCCGGGAAACCAAAGCUUUUGGG